CCCGACUCUUGCUGCUACCUUCACGUGGUGGUCAGGCUUGCCUAUCGUGAUUAACCAAUCGAGUCAUACUGGCUGGAACAAUCGUUUCUCAAGGUCCUCCCAUGCCAGAAAGGUCGGUUAAAGGGCGGUAAGACUAAAAGCAAC
rnacentral:ribozyme from 1 species